rnacentral:rRNA from 1 species
UACGUAGGGGGCAAGCGUUGUCCGGAUUUAUUGGGCGUAAAGAGCGUGUAGGCGGCCAUGCAGGUCCGUUGUGAAAACUCGAGGCUCAACCUCGAGACGCCGAUGGAAACCGCAUGGCUAGAGUCCGGAAGAGGAGAGUGGAAUUCCUGGUGUAGCGGUGAAAUGCGCAGAUAUCAGGAGGAACACCGGUGGCGAAGGCGGAUCUCUGGUCUGUAACUGACGCUGAGGCGCGAAAGCGUGGGGAGCAAACAGG